GGUUUUAUGGUGUAAUGGUUGUUAGUAGCCUUAAAAGUCUUUUAAAAUGCAUUCGUUUAUUAAUUCUAAAUUCAGAGCACAUGAGAUUUUGAUUCUCGGGAUCUGGGUUCGAUUCCCAGUAAGACCU